CGCGGGAUUACGGGGCGCAGCAGGCGCGAAACCUCCUCAAUGCACUAACGUGCGAAGGGGUUACCUCGAGUGCUACCUGAAGAAGGUGGCUUUUCCUUGGUCUAAAAAGCCUCGGGAAUAAGAGGGGGGCAAGACUGGUGUCAGCCGCCGCGGUAACACCAGCCCCUCGAGUGGUGGGGAUGAUUAUUUGGCCUAAAGCGUCCGUAGCCGGCCGGGUAAGUUUCCCGUUAAAUCCAGCGUCUCAAGCGUUGGACUGCGGGAAAUACUGCCUGGCUAGAGAGUGGGAGAGGUCAGCGGUAUUCUGGGGGUAGGGGCGAAAUCCUUUGAUCCCCGGAGGACCACCAGUGGCGAAGGCUGCUGACUAGAACACGUCUGACGGUCAGGGACGAAAGCUGGGGUAGCGAACCGGAUUAGAUACCCGGGUAGUCCCAGCCGUAAACGAUGCAUGCUAGGUGUUGGGUUGGCCACGAGCCACCCCAGUGCCGCAGGGAAGCCGUUAAGCAUGCCGCCUGGGAAGUACGAUCGCAAGAUUGAAACUUAAAGGAAUUGGCGGGGGAGCACCACCAGGCGUGAAGCCUGCGGUUUAAUUGGAGUCAACGCCGGGAACCUUACCGGAAGCGACAGCAGAGUGAAGGCCAGAUUGAAGAUCUUGCCAGACGAGCUGAGAGGAGGUGCAUGGCCGUCGCCAGUUCGUGCCGUGAGGUGUUCUCUUAAGUGAGAUAACGAACGAGACCCGCGCCACAUGUUGCCAUCAGAAUCUAAAGGAUUGCUGGGCACUCUUGUGGGACCGCAGCCGAUAAGGCUGAGGAAGGGGCGGGCAACGGCAGGUCAGUAUGCCCCGAAUCUUCCGGGCCACACGCGGGCUGCAAUGGUAUGGACAGAGGGCUGCCACCCCGAAAGGGGGAGCCAAUCCCUAAACCAUACCUCAGUUGGGAUUGAGGGCUGCAACCCGCCCUCAUGAACAUGGAAUGCCUAGUAACUGCCAGUCAUCAUCUGGCGGUGAAUACGUCUCUGCUCCUUGCACGAAUUCGCCGAAUCACUAGU
rnacentral:rRNA from 1 species